rnacentral:misc_RNA from 1 species
UCUCCGUAGGUGAACCUGCGGAGGGAUCAUUACAGAGUUCGUGCCCUCGCGGGUAGAUCUCCCACCCUGUGUUAUUGCUACCUUUGUUGCUUUGGCGGGCCGCCCUCGGCUACCGGCUCCGGCUGGUACGCGCCCGCCAGAGGACCCCAAACCCUGAACGUCAGUGUCGUCUGAGUACUAUACAAUAGUUAAAACUUUCAACAACGGAUCUCUUGGUUCUG